rnacentral:misc_RNA from 1 species
AUGGUUUUGGUAUUAUAAUUGAAAUUUAUUAAUUAAAAAUAAAAAAAAUUUGAACAGUUUAGAGUCGUGACCAGGCUAGUUCAAGUUUCUUAUCAAAUUGAUAAACAAAUAAAAAUACUGAAAUCAUCUAGGGUAUGAUUAGCAUUUUCACUUAUUUAAAUCUAUGCGCGUCUCACAUAAAAUGAUCUGCCGACUAAAGCGCCCCUGAAAACGGACGGAUCACGGAGCAGCUGUUGGCUGUUGCUGACUGAUUCACUGAUGUGCGACGAUGAUGCGUCGUCGCUACAUCGUUUCCGUAAGCAGUGUGUUGGUCAAUCUGUGUGUGUACCUUGCUUUAAAUCGUUCAUCAGAGAACUUGUGAAAUUGACAUUUUCUUUGAAUUUUCACGAAGUGUACACAAAAUAUCAGCAUCCAAUACUUACUCGCGACGUGACAGUAGUUAGUGUUGACCGUCUUAUUGGCUAAACUUGUUGUAAAUUUGUAAAUACGCUUGCGUGGGAGGAUACCUUGUGUUGCUGCCAUUACGCUCGUUAUAAUUAGUUUUUUCUAAUGAAGUUUAUGUUUUUUUCUUGUUCAUGGAGACAGUGUAAAAAUAUUGGUUCCUACUCCGGCAGUUUCUGUUACGUGCAAUAAAUACUGUUUUCAAUUGACAUGCUACAUACAGCAAACGUUAGUCAGAGUAUUUAUUGAACGAUCAAAUAUAACCUCAUUUAUUAGCUGAUAGCAUUUUGCUUCGUAAUAAUCUCGGCCUGGAGUUUUUACGGAAUAUUUACAGUAAGGAUUACAGAGAGGUUCCACUGUAGCCAAAAUGAGUUCAGAUGUGGAAUGUAUUACUGAUUCGAGGCGAGAUCCCGAUGAACUAAGCGACAAUGAACUUUCAACUCCAGAGCACAAACAUAGCAGUACUAGUAAGAAAAGGAAACGUAAACAUAAGCAUAAGCACAAGAAAGACAAAUCUGACAUAAAGUUGGAGCGCAGUGAAAGAAAAAAGCAUAAGCAUAAACAUAAACACAAAAAGAGCAGAAGUGAAGAAAAUGGUAAAGCUGUCAUUGACAAAAUUGUUUCAAAUUUUGUCAAAGAUAAAGAAAUGAAUGGCAAAAUUGGUACUAGCAUAGAAAUUCCAGAGUCAGAAGACAGUGAAGAUGAAAAAAUGGUUGAUUUGGAAUCAGAUGAUGCAGAUUGUACUAUCAUUGACUUAGAUUCAGAUGAAGUAGAUUGUACUAUCAUUGAAGAUGAUAUUGAUCUUGAAGAAUUGAUGAAACAAAAGGAACGUCUUCAAGCAUGUUUGGCACAAUAUUCAGUUUCUCAAUCAAAAAGCAAAGACGAAACAGUUGAUUCCAAAAAAGAUGAUAGACCUUCCUUAAAAAAAUCAAGCGAAAAACUUAAAGAAGAUGACAAAAAGAAAGAUGAAUCUUCCAGAAAAAAAUUGGAAGAUGACAAGCGCAAAGAAAUUGCUAAAAGAGAUGAAUCUCGAAAAAGAGAACACGAUAAAAGUAGGGAAGAAGAGCGUAAAAAAAAUAGCAGUAGCACCAUCCGACGAAGUACUGACAAUAAAUCUCGAGAACCGUCUCGACCAUCUAGACGCGAUUCUAGUCGUGAACGACAAUUAAACCACGAACGAGAUAGAAGAAGCAGUCGUGAUCGAAAAGACAGUAGAAGACACAGAGAACUAGGUAAAGAUGGACGAGAUCAUCCUAGGGACAGUAGAGAUGUGAGAGCACACGAUAGACGUGAUAAUUCUAGAAACCGACACCGAUCCAGAAGUCUUGACCGUGGAAGGGAUCGGAAUGACCGUGACCGUCAUAGACGCUCAAGGUCUCGUUCACGAGGACGUCAUGGAGAUCGAGAUAGGUAUGGUAAAACUCAUGAUCGCGAACGGGAAAAAGACAAAAAUGGAAAACGCGAAAGAAAUGAUAAAUUUAAAGAUUCUUUAUCGGAAGGUUUGAAACCAGAACAUGAGUCCAGUUCCAGUGAAGAAGAUAUCAAAGAUAUCGACAUUGAAGAAGAUGAAGAUGAGGAAGCAAUCAUUGAACGUCGAAGAAAGCAGCGAGAAGAACUAUUGAAGCGGCUAGGUGCACCGAAUGAAGACUCAAAUUUAUCUUUAGAAUUUCCUCCAGCACAAUCACUUCGUACAGAAAGUCCGUCAAGUAAGUGUUCUUCUACACCUGAGAAAAGUAAUGGAACCAUUUAUGAAAGUCAUACGCCACCGUUACCUGAUAAACGAAAUUGGUUUAAAAUCGAGGACGAAAAUAAAGACAGUAAGGAUAGUAAGGAUAGUAAAGACAGUAAAGACAGUAAAGACAGUAAAAAGAGUAAUGAGACAUCAACUACAAAAAAAUCGAACGAAUGGGAUAUGUUUGCAGAAAUAGAUAAUAUCGGUGAUUUCAAUAGUCCAACCGUUGAUGGUUCUAAACGUCAUGGAGGGCAUGAUAAUCCUAAUCUAACGGAUAACUGGGAUGAUGCUGAAGGUUACUACAGAGUUCGUGUUGGUGAAACUUUGGAUUCAAGAUACGUAGUGUAUGGUUAUACUGGUCAGGGAGUAUUCAGUAAUGUUGUUAGAGCAAGAGACAAUUUCCGCAGUGGUCAGGAUGUAGCUGUAAAAAUAAUCAGGAAUAAUGAAAUAAUGCAUCGUACUGGUCUUAAAGAAUUAGAGAUUCUUCGAAAACUUAAUGACGCAGAUGCUGAAGAUAAAUUUCAUUGUUUACGAUUGUUUAGACACUUCUUUCACAAAAACCAUUUGUGCAUGGUUUUUGAAUCUUUGUCAAUGAAUUUGAGAGAAGUGCUGAAAAAGUAUGGGAAAGAUGUUGGAUUACACGUAAAGGCUGUCAGAUCAUAUACACAACAGUUAUUCCUUGCUUUAAAAUUGUUAAAAAGAGCGAACAUUCUGCAUGCUGAUAUAAAACCAGAUAAUAUUUUAGUCAGUGAAAGUAAAUUAGUUCUAAAAUUGUGUGAUUUCGGUUCUGCUUCAUUUGCACAUGAAAACGAGAUAACGCCGUACCUUGUUUCUCGAUUUUACAGAGCACCUGAAAUAAUUUUAGGUAUACCUUAUGAUUUCGGCAUUGAUAUGUGGUCGGUUGGUUGUACAAUUUAUGAACUCUAUACCGGGAAAAUCAUGUUUUCUGGAAAAACAAAUAAUCAAAUGCUCAAAUUCUUUAUGGAUUUAAAAGGAAAAAUGCCCAAUAAAGUUGUACGAAAAGGUCAAUUCAAAGAUCAACACUUUGAUAGUAACUGCAACUUCUUGUAUCACGAAGUUGAUAAAGUUACAGAAAGAGAAAAAAUUGUACAAAUGUCAACUCUUCCCAUCACCAGGGAUUUGGCUACUGAACUAGGAGGAACAGGCUUACCUACAGAACAAGCUCGUAAAGUAGCUCAAUUGAAAGAUUUACUCGAACGUACAUUGAUGCUCGAUGCUGGGAAAAGGAUAACAGUAAAUCAUGCGUUGACUCAUCCUUUUAUUCAAGAGAAGAUAUAAGAUAUAUUAUCUUACACAAAGAAUAUACACGUAGGUAAAAUGCACUUACCGUGUUACUAAGUGCGUGUAUAUUAUCUGAUCAACAACUCUGACGAAACCUAAUUUAUGCUUAAUGGUGAACUUGAAAAUGUUUUCUUCUCACUGCAGCACGUUAAAUGUGUACCUGCUCAAAAUAUAGAAGGGGUUGAUUCAAUUUAGUUAGAUAAUAAAAUAACCAAAGGAGGUUUGAUUAAUAAAUUAUAAGAAUUUAGAACAUGUAAGAUAAAUUUUCCGUUCAAAACUCCUGAGGCGUAUUGAAAUGGAGUACAUUCGUAGAUGGCAAAAUUGUACAUUGAAGUAUUGUAUAUUCAUGGGUUAUGAUGAGUUUAGAUAUUUAUCAUUCGUCUAAUUUGUAAUGUUCAUCACCAGUACAGUCUGUGCUUUACAAGUUGUAUUUAAUAAAUUUGCUAGAAAUUUAGAUUUAUAUUAUAAUCAUCGAAAGGUUUAAAAAGUUAAUCAAGGUUUUACGUAAUUUGAUUUAGUAAUUUUCGGGUUGAAUAAAGUUUUACAGAGCAAUCACGAGUGUUAGAAAAGAAUUUCUAUAACGAGAGAUCUUUGUACAGUAUAUGUUAUAUACGCCUGAGAAAUAAAAUGAGUUUGAUUUUGAAUCUCGGCUUUUAAAGUAAUUUUUUCAUUGAUGUUUAUACAAAAUGAGCUUGGAUUUCACGUGUGUUAUUGAAUUUUUCAAUCUUCGUAUUAAAUUUAAGUCAUCAAUCUCGGAAUUUUCAUCACAAUGAUUCUUGAAAAUGAAUCAUUUAGAAUUUAUUUUAAUGUGAUAAUAAAGCUGAGUGUUUUAGCAUCCAAACUGGUGUUUUAUAAAAUACCGGAUUAAUUUUAAAUUAAACUUGGUUUUCAUCAGUAGGGUAUAUUUUUGAUUAAUAUUAAUUAAUUUUUUAUUCAAUCAGGAAAAUAGUUUUUGGUUAAUUGGGAUAUAAUGGCUCUUUUAAAAAUUUUCAAUCGGGUAGAUUUUAUGCAGCUGCUUAUGUUUCAGAUCAGUCUUCCCAAGUUGAAACUUUGGAUAAAUUCAACUGGACGUUAACACGGGCCUAUAGCUGUUUCCGUUUCAAGGUAUUCUAGGAAACUGACUUUUGGGACUUACUUAUUUUAGCAUUACACCAUUUUUACGAUUAUAACGUGUAGUUUUUUUUUUUUUUUUUAUUUU